ensembl:piRNA 21ur-10222 ncRNA
UUUGGUCUUUUUAUCAAACGA